CCAGUAUAAUCUCAUUUCUCUAUCUCAAUUAUAUCACUUCUAUAACUGCUUACCUCCCUUGCAUCUAAAACUCUCUAACAGAGAUUAUUAGACCUGACACCAUUUUCACACCGUUUUGAUAUCGACCUUCGUCAAAGAAAUAUGAGCAGCGCUUUGUCGCGAAACCGACUCAAGAUCGUUACGUCAUGGAUACCGUCAGGUUCAGUGAUUAUUUCAGAAACUAUAUCCUAUGAAUGACUUAUUUCAACAACGAAAUAGAAUCUAGAAGAUAUCUUGUUACACAUUUCGGUAAACUGAAUUUUCAGGCAGGAGGAAUCUCAGAAGCACGAUAGAUGGCACAUGCAGUCGUACCCAUAUUAUGCAGGCACGUGGACCUGCGAAGAAAUCUAUAGGACACCAGAGGCGGACAAAGAAAAUACGCGCGUGCGAGCGGAUAAGCG